rnacentral:rRNA from 1 species
UACCCGCUGAAUUUAAGCAUAUAAGUAAGCGGAGGAUGAGAAACUAAACGGGAUUCUCUCAGUAAUUGCGAAUGAAGAGGGAGUAGCUCAACAUGGAAAUUGGGGCCUUUGGCUUUGAAUUGUAGUCUGGAGAUGCGCUGCCAAUGGAGGCGCUGAUGUAAACCUCUUGGAAGAGAGCAUCAUCGAGGGUGAGAGUCCUGCUUGUCGUCUGCAGUCCCCCAUGUACGGCGCGCGUCCGAAGAGUCACGUUCCUUGGAACUGGAGCGCAAAGUGGGUGGUAACUUUCAUCUCAAGCUGAAUAAAGGUUCAAGCCCGAUAGCAAACAAGUACCAUGAGGGAAAGGUGAAAAGAACUUUGAAAAGAGAGUUACAAGUGCCUGAAAUCGCUGAAAGCAAAGCGAAGGGAACUAGGGUUGCUCGGCGAAAUCUUCUGCGCGCUAACUCAAUGACCUGUUGCUUCGACGCAAGUGUGGCAGUGGGUCAGAUAGGGACGCGCGCGGUGUUUCUUGCCCUGCGCGUCAACGCCAGCUCGCAAAUGAGGAGUGCUCCAGGGACAUGGCAAUCUGCCCCUGGCAGAUGAAUGUGCCUGGUAGAACUCAUUUGUGCAUUGACUCAUUGCUGUCUGGUUGCAGCGCUCCUUGUGCGCGUCCCCUGACAUGGACUUGGACCAAAUGGUUCUAUUCGACCCGUCUUGAAACACGGACCAAGGAGUCUAACAUAUCUGCGAGUUCACGGGCGGGCAAACCUGCCUGCGCAAUGAAAGUGACUGCUGGCAUUCGUGCACCAGCGCCCGACUAAUCGAUUGAGAGAGGUUUGAGUGCGAGCACAUCUGUUAGGACCCGAAAGAUGGUGAACUAUGCCUGAGAAGGGCAAACUCAGAGGAAACUCUGAUGGAGGCUCGUAGCGAUACUGACGUGCAAAUCGUUCGUCAUACUUGGGUAUA